rnacentral:rRNA from 1 species
CCUACGGGUGGCAGCAGUAGGGAAUCUUUCACAAUGGGCGAAAGCCUGAUGGAGCAACGCCGCGUGCAGGAUGAAGGCCUUCGGGUUGUAAACUGCUUUUAUAAGCGAGAAAUAUGAUGGUAACUUAUGAAUAAGGAUCGGCUAACUACGUGCCAGCAGCCGCGGUCAUACGUAGGAUCCGAGCAUUAUCCGGAGUGACUGGGUGUAAAGAGUUGCGUAGGUGGCAUAAUAAGUAGCUAGUGAAAUCUGGUGGCUCAACCAUUCAGACUAUUAGCUAAACUGUUAAGCUCGAGACCGUUAGGGGUAACUGGAAGUUCUAGUGUAGGAGUGAAAUCCGUAGAUAUUAGAAGGAACACCAAUAGCGUAGGCAGGUUGCUGGGACGGUUCUGACACUAAGGCACGAAGGCCAGGGGAGCGAAAGGGAUUAGAUACCCUUGUAGUC